ACGACCCCAGCUCCCUGAGCAUGUUUCCCUAUUGUCUGUUUGUUUUUCAUGGUUACCGAGCAACGUGGAGAGGCGGAGAGUUCCAGGCCUGCGGCCAAUCAAGCCAACACACCUGAUCUUGAUUAGCCACCCUAGUUAAGCUGAGACCGACAUCCAGUCCUUGCCGGAUUGUUAGACGAAGUAUUCUGCACCUGGGAACCCGUCAACCUCGCCUGGCCACGGAGACGCCUCCACCCCCACCACCUCACCUUGACUCGCCAUUCUGCACGUUGGACUACUCCUGCACAGUGUCAAUAAAGACUCUUUGUUUUCACCUGAA